ACGAACGCUGGCGGCGUGCUUAACACAUGCAAGGCGAACGGAAAGGCCCUGCUUUUGUGGGGUGCUCGAGUGGCGAACGGGUGAGUAACACGUGAGUAACCUGCCCUUGACUUUGGGAUAACUUCAGGAAACUGGGGCUAAUACCGGAUAGGAGCUCCUGCUGCAUGGUGGGGGUUGGAAAGUUUCGGCGGUUGGGGAUGGACUCGCGGCUUAUCAGCUUGUUGGUGGGGUAGUGGCUUACCAAGGCUUUGACGGGUAGCCGGCCUGAGAGGGUGACCGGCCACAUUGGGACUGAGAUACGGCCCAGACUCCUACGGGGGGCAGCAGUGGGGAAUAUUGCACACUGGGCGGAAGCCUGAUGCAGCAACGCCGCGUGCGGGAUGACGGCCUUCGGGUUGUAAACCGCUUUCGCCUGUGACGAAGCGUGAGUGACGGUAAUGGAUAAAGAAGCACCGGCUAACUACGU
rnacentral:rRNA from 1 species